GAAAACAGUGAAUUAGGGAGAAAGAUUGAAUAUUAGUACAUUACAUUAGACAAAAUGAACAUUUUAUUACAAGUUAGUGAAUGAAAAUGAACCAAGAAAAAACAAGAGAAACAAUUCCUCAUAAGAAAGCAAAAGAUUACGAGAUUAAGCACUCCACUAGCAAACUGAUAAUUACCCUAAGGAAAAUAAUUUCCAAAUAAAGAGAGACCUUAGACAAUAAGGACUCAUACUAACGAAAGGAAAGCAACAAAUAUAGAAAUAAUGAACUGACACAAAUAUUGCCCGUUGGUGGACCAACAAGUACUUCAUCAGGUAUUGGUUCAGACAUUUGAUCGAACACCUUCUGCUCAGCCUCUGCUUUUGCCGUUGUAGGCAGUCAUUUUAUCAAACACCUCUUGCCCAGUCUUGUCUAGAAGCCCAACAACAUUUGUAUCAUCGACAAAAUGAUAACGGUCUACUUUUCAUGAAGCGGUAUAAUUCAAAACCUCAAAAGGCAUUUUUGCAAACACCCUCUCCAUCUCUAAAUUGAGGAAUCGACUAUCCAGCUCGAUCAUGCUAAUGGGGAAAAAAUAAAAGUAAAAAAAACUAAAAGUCAGCCAAUGAAGCAUCCAUACAAUUUGCUAAAAGUUAAUAGCUCUGAAAAUUUAACUAGCACCAACAAAAUAAUCUAUAUCUAUAUCUAUACUAAUAGAAAAAGAACCUAAGCAUUUUAUGGGACAACUUGUGGAUUGCCUAUUUUACCCCUAUCAUAUAUUUUAUAUUAUAAUAUUUAUAAAAUAAAUUUAAUAGCUUAUUGCAUUAGUUAUCGGAUACAUCAAAUAGAUUAGCAUUAGUUUAGAAUUCUAAUUGCAUUAGAAUUCUCUCUCUCUCUCUCUAAAGCUUUAAUAGCUUAUUGCAUUAGUUAUCGGAUACAUCAAAUAGAUUAGCAUUAGUUUAGAAUUCUAAUAAUUCUGGCGAAACUACGUAUUGAUCAAUCAGCGCGCACCUGCUCACGUCGACGCCGUUCGCACCUCCGGCCGGCCAACGAAUCGCUGCCGUUCCCAUCCGCUAUCUCGCCCUCUCGCCGCCAACCAAGCUUCAAGUUUGUGAUUUUGGUUUAUAAUCUAAUUCUGGCGAAACUACAUAUUGAUCAAUCAGCGCGCACCUGCUCACGUCGACGCCGUUCACACCUCCGGCCGGCUAACGAAUCGCUGCCGUUCCCAUCUGCUGUCUCGCCCUCUCGCCGUCAACCGUCUAGGGCUCUAUAUGUCGCUCUCCAGUCAGGUAGGUAAGCCCUCAAACUACAAACUGUUAUUUCUUUAUACUAGCAGUAAGAACGUGCGAUGCACGUUAAACACGUGUGUUUUUG
rnacentral:lncRNA from 1 species